AAGGGCGAGUGGAGAUGCCUAGUAGUUCUCGCAGUCUCGUUGAUCCAGCUUCGGGUAGUGUGUACCGUGACGUGACAAUGGCGGUAGUCGUAAUUGCGGAACGGUGCGUUAUUGUGAUCAGCUGAUCAGCCGAGCUUGACAGAAAGGGCGAAACCCGGGUACGAGCACGCGAUAAAUGACAAAGGGAGGACUUGCGAGGCGAACGACGCAGCGCACGGCUCGAUAGAAAUCGAAGUUGAGAGGACGGUAGGCGAGUUACAAUUUUCGGGUGGCUAUGUCAUUGCGUUCGUGAUUCGUUCCGCCUACGGGGCACCGGUGCUCUUUUCCUCGUUUUGCGGGAAUAGCGGUUUGCAUAUUCCCCGAGCGUGUUUCUUUUUUUUACGUAUGCGUGGAAUUCGCGAAAGCGGUAGAUAAAUGUGUGUUAACCAUGCCUGCUGUGCGGAAGUACAGAAGGGAUACCAGUGAAGUGAGCUGCUGUCUCAAGUAUGUGAUCUUUGGAUUUAACGUUAUGUUUUGGUGGCUGGGUUUGGGUAUAAUGGCAGUGGGCGUUUGGGCAUGGACCGAAAAGGACACGUUCAACAAUCUGUCCAGGCUCACGAACGUCGCGCUGGACCCAGCGUUUAUCCUCAUUCUAGUCGGUACAGUGACAUUCAUUAUUGGAUUUACUGGAUGUGUCGGUGCACUCAGGGAAAAUACGUGCCUCCUAGCUGCGUAUGCGAUAUUCCUGGCGUUGUUAUUGUUAAUGGAGAUGGCAGCCGGUGUUUUAGGGUUUGUCUUUAAAGACUGGAUAAAAUCACAAGCCACUGGCGGCUUCCAAGCGUUCAUCAUUCACUAUAGGGAAGAUCCUGAUCAGCAGAAUCUCAUUGAUUGGAUUCAAGAAGAUUGGUUACAGUGUUGCGGCAUCGAGGGUCCUAAAGACUGGGAUCGCAACAAUUAUUUCAAUUGUUCGUCGAGCGACAUUGGCUCGAGGGAAGCAUGCGGCGUGCCUUUUAGCUGUUGUAAACGAAAGCCAAAUGAGAUUAUUAAAAACAAGCAGUGCGGCUAUGACGUUAGAAAACCUAGUUAUACUGGGGAAAGGAGUAUAUACGAGAGGGGCUGUCUGAGAGCGGGCGAGGAAUGGCUAGAAUUGAAUCUCGUACCUGUCGCUGGCACCGUUGUCAGCACUAUGGUUUUACAGAACUUUGAAGUUGCCAAAGUGAUUUACGAGAAAGGUUGUGUUCAAGCCGGGGAGGAGUGGGUGGAACGGAAUCUUCUUGCGAUCGUCACCGGGGCGGUUGGUACGGCAUUUGCGCAGGUAUAUUCAUCGUUCUCAACGUAUACACAACUCCACGUUUCGAGCGUUCACGUGUAGAGAGAAAGAUCGUUUCGCAUAAAGAUCCACAGUUUGUUCACAAGGAAAUGGGUCGAUUCUGGGUAUCUGUUUCGCCCAAAACCUUCGCGCGGACAUAUUCGCGCAGAAGGCGAAGUGGCAUUGACAGUUCAGGGCCCCCACGGCGGUCUAGCAUCUCAUCCUCAUAGAUGCUGAUCUAUUGCGUUGAUCGAGCUGGACAAGAGACACGAUUCCGCGUGACGGGCACGGGAUCCAUCGAGGCGUCCGAACUGAGUCGAGCUUUUGUUAGAAUCUCACGAUUUUUAAACUUCUGACUUGCGACAUCAAUUCAGGCUUCCCGAGUCUCGUCGAAUAACUUCGAUCGAGAAACAUUGUUCGGUUCUGAUCGAGCCGCGUGAUCCUAUAUUCCUAGACGUCCUCGCAUUGAUUCUAUGAAUUUGAGAAAUCGAUUAUCCUAUUCCCUGCGAAAAAAGGUCGAUGAGUUCGGAUGGCCCUCGGGCAGAGCUACGAAUUCGCGGAGUCUGAAAGAGGGAGAAAGGCAAUGAAGAAAUUGCGUUCUCCGAGCACGGACUGGUUAAUCGGUAGCGACGUUUGAGGGUCAGAGGGCAGGGAGCGUGGUAGAUAGAGGAAAGAACGGAACGGGAGAACACCUGCUCGAUUUACGAGGAACAGCGUGUCGAAGCGUUAAAGUCGAUUGACGCGAUGUCGUGGGGGCGGCGGUGAACGCGACCGAUUUCACCGCACACGAGUAAAACCUCUCUCAGUGGGCACGGUCACGAGAGGCGAAGCGAGCCAUAUGACACGCAAAUACACAAUAACUUUCCGUUGCUCCAAUUGGUCGUUAAAACAGUUGCUCGAGCUACUUUCAGCAUAUAUUGAUCCUACGUUACGCGCCGCGCUGAUACGUUCCCUUCUAUUGACAGGCCGGCUAUCCGUCGCGACGACGCGUUUCGUAUGCGCUAUCGUCACGCAGCUAAAUUACACCCGCAAGAGAGAGUGUACGGUGGCUCGGUCAUUCUGUGAAUUCGAAAAUACUAGCCUCUCUGAUACGACGAUAACGUCACAGGUAACGUCUAUACCCAACUCGUUUCCUUCUUCGUCCUUUCAUCAGCUAAACGAAAUUACGUCCCCGAGGCAAUGGCCAGUGACACGCUACCGCUCGUAAGUAUUUGUCUUGCCAUACCAGCGAGAUCAAUUACUAUGAUUCUGAUUUGUAAUUAGACGGGUUAAGGGGCAGAGACUUACGAGCGGUAGCUCGUAACCGUAUUUAUUCAUCUUUUUAUUCUUUUUCCUUCCAACAUGUUCCUCUCAACGUCUUCGAGAUUCAUACGCAUUCUGGUUUGAAUGAGCUUGACAGACUUUCUUAUCUUGUUUGAUUUAAUUUCUGAUUGUACAAGAAUGUGUUUUCAUCUUAGUUGAACAAUUAAACAGAACAAUUGCCAUGCUUAUAUACACAAUCCGUUUUAAGUAUGACAUAUCCGUCGACGUACCAAACGGAAUUUUCGAAAGAAUUCAGAAGAGACUGAAAUUUUCACUUCCCAGAAAGAGUAAAAUUAUUUUAUCCAACACUCAUGUAUAUAGAUAAGAUCACUUGUUCCGUUCGUUGCAUUAUAUUUUAUUACAUAAAAGACUCUGUUCCUGCCAAAUGAAAUAGAGCACGGAAAGCGAAAAUGACAAUCAUACUUGAGAGAACAGUCUAUAAUUUACAGUACGUUAGGACAUUUCAACUGAUUGCGAUGCUGGCAAAAGGCGUUAAUUGAUAUUACAUUCACCGAAGGAAAUGCACGGAAAUUCUAGUCCGUCCGUUUGGUACAAUUUCGGAUAUCCCACUACUAAUUGUAACAAUAUUGUCGUUAUAAGCCCUUCAUGAAUUCCAGAAAUUGCUAGUUUAUUUGAGAAAAUUGAAUCCAAUUAUCCAAGGAAGUUUAAUUUACGUCUAAUUUAGCAAGAACAAAGAGCCGACAAUUGCAUGAAAGUAUCGAGUUCAAACUAGUGAUAGCAUUUAAUAAAUGUAACAGAGAGCGGCUGGACCGCUGGAACGUUUUCAGUUUCGAUGAGAACACUGUUUUCUAAUGACGGAAUACCAAGAGAUUAGUCCUGAUUUUCUCGAUGUUCUCCCAAAUCAUUUUUAUACUGUGUAUAUAUAUACAUAAAGUUCAGGGUGGCUCUCGGUUGCACGUACAUACAAACAUUUUCUCUGCGGAUCCCUUUUCUCGAAGCCCUCGGAAUUGUUCCAAUUCGUGAGACUAUCGUCAUCUACUGACGCAGGAACAAUUCAGAGCGAGCGAACAAUUUCCAUAUGUAAAAAGACGAGAACCACCCUAAUGAUUAACAAACGUGUAUCGUGUCAACGCCGAAUUAUGAUAAAGAACGUCGUUCGUCUACUUGUUGAUUGUGUUUCAAUUAAUAUAAAAUUCAUAAUUCAUAUCCUGUGUUCAGACAUACAGGAAAUACUGCAUUACCAAUAACUGACGAAUCAUUAAUCAAUUAAAUGCGUUGCACACAUUUAUUCCUAUAAUGAUACGAUGGUAAUACAUGGCGAUGAAUUAGUUAUAAAUCUUCUCAGCGAAUUAAGUUAAUUAGCGAUCGCGGAAGCAGUGAAUCAGAACAGAUUUUCGUAUCGUUCCGUAACUUAAUUUGCCAGCCUGAUCCGAUAUUCUUAUUGGGAACUAUGAUAUUUCUUAAACCCAGGCGGAAUAUGCGGAUCACGUAAUGAAUGCAUGUGCGUAUCGAGUCAACGAGUUGUCGUACCGUACAAUAUCAAAGAUUACAUUUAACGACUAAUCUUCGUUCGGUAAGCAUUUGUCAAAGAGUUUCUUUUACUUUUAUUCGUGAUGGUCUAGCAUGGCAGCGAGACCAUCGUGCUUUUGUACACUUGUUUAAAAAAUGGCCGCUUCGAUUGAAUUUUUAUUAUCUAAUAAAGAUAUUGUUUAUACACUUU